UACGUAGGGGGCCAGCGUUGUCCGGAUUUAUUGGGCGUAAAGAGCGUGUAGGCGGCCAGACAGGUCCGUUGUGAAAACUCGAGGCUCAACCUCGAGAUGUCGAUGGAAACCGUCUGGCUAGAGUCCGGAAGAGGAGUGUGGAAUUCCUGGUGUAGCGGUGAAAUGCGCAGAUAUCAGGAAGAACACCCGUGGCGAAAGCGGCUCUCUGGAACGGUACUGACGCUGAGACGCGAAAGCGUGGGGAGCGAACAGG
rnacentral:rRNA from 1 species